CCCAGGAGGCUGAGGAGGCCGCAUCCCGGGAGGGUCCCCACCAUGGCCUGGACGGUGCUCCUGCUCGGGCUGCUGGCUUACGGCUCAGGGAUAGAAGCUCAGACUGUGAUCCAGGAACCGUCACUGUCUGUGUCUCCAGGAGGGACGGUCACCCUCACCUGUGGACUGAGCUCUGGGUCAGUCACUACGUACAACGAACCCAGCUGGUACCAGCAGACCCCAGGCCAGGCUCCCAGAAAUGUUAUCUACAACACAAACAGCCGCCCCUCUGGGGUCCCCGAUCGCUUCUCUGCCUCCAUCUCUGGGAACAAAGCCACCCUCACCAUCACGGGGGCCCAGCCCGAGGACGAGGCUGACUAUCACUGCUUACUGUACAAGGGCAGUGGUACUUACAGCUGCACAGUGAUGGGAGCUCAUGGGGAAGUGCAAAUAAAACCUGCCUGUGCUCAGAGGGCUCAGCCUUUAGAGGCAGGAGAGGGCGGAAGUGGUCAGCUCCCCUAUGGGGACGGAGGCUCCGGAUCCAUCCCCUGUCUAGUAGUUCAUGGCCCCGCGCCUCCUGCAGUCUCUCCCCAGGUGUGUCCAGGUCUCCAAGAGGAUGGGUAGAGGGGCUCAGGUGCA